AGUGGAAUAGCUGGGUCAAAUGGUGGUUCCAUUUGGGAAUCUCCAUGCUGUUUUCCAGAGUAGUUGCACCAAUUUGCAUUUCCACCAGCAAU
rnacentral:pre_miRNA from 1 species